GACGAACGCUGGCGGCGUGCCUAAUACAUGCAAGUCGAACGCAGUGGGGACGGGUGAGUAACACGUGGGUAACCUCCCAUGAGAGGGGAUAACACUUGGAAACCGGUGCUAAACCGAUACUGAUGGAUGGACCCGCGGGGCAUUAGCUAGUUGGUGAGGUAACGGCUCACCAAGGCCACGAUGCAUCGCCGGUCUGGGAGGGUGAUCGGCUACACUGGGACUGAGAAACGGGCCAGAUGCCUACGGGAGGCAGCAGUAGGGAAUCUUCGGCAAUGGACGAAAGUCUGACCGAGCAACGCCUCGUGUGUUAAGAAGGUUUUCGGAUCGUAAAACUCUGUUGGUAGAUAAGCGGUAUCUAACCAGAAAGCCACGGCUAACUACGUGCCAGCAUCCGCGGUAAUUC
rnacentral:rRNA from 1 species